GUUCAUGUGGCAUAGCGGUUAGAGCGUCCGCCUCGGAUGCGGGAGGUCGUGGGUUUGAUCCCGGUCGAGUCAUACCAAAGACU